UUGUGUAUUAGUUAAGGUUACUCGAUUUUGGGAAUAGUGUGUAAAGUUUAAUGUAUAAACAAUUUAUGUUUAUAUCUUCCGCAAUAAUGAUAGAAUUAGUAUACCGGAUCCGCGGCGAUUUGGGACCCGGAUUCGGGGAUGCUACAGUUGCACAACUUUAGUGAAGAACCCGGCUCGGGGCAUGCCGGUCGAACGGGUCAGGAGUUGUUUUGUUUUGUUUGGCUGGAAAUUGUGUUGUGUUGGGAGAUAUAACUUCUUUAUGUAAUAAGGUUGUAUUAGGAGUGUGUCAAGGAGGUUAUUUCAUGUUAAUUGGGAUUCUUUGUUUUAAAAACUUGUUGGGUUUAAUUAGGAGUUUGAUUUUUAUUAGAAUUCCUACUGGAUGACUUUGAGAUGGAUUAGAAUUGAAUUGGGUUCAGCUGAAGUGAAUUAAUUUAUGCUAAAGAGGAAAAUGCUGGAGAUAUCCAAGAAUAGAGAACACACUUAGAGAGCGAGAAUUGAGAGAAAAUCUUGGAGGAACAAAGGAAGGAGGUGAAUUCAUGAAGAUUGCAGAAUUGAAGGACGAGAAGGGUGGUCUAUUACUAUUCUUCUUUAAUUUCAAUUUUUGUAAUUGGAAUGAUGAUUUCUUUUAUUUAUUAAGUAUUUAAUUCAUUAGUUAUGAACUAAAUUUCUUUUUAGGCUUCCAGUAGAUCUUUAAUCUUGAAUGACAAUUAUUA
rnacentral:lncRNA from 1 species